rnacentral:lncRNA from 12 species
AUGGUCGCAAAGGUCACCCAAACCCGGUGGUUUGCGAUACCACACACAUUUCUGCCUCAGUGCUGGGGGGCAGACCCUCAUCCAGAACCUACCGGCAGUUUGCCAAGCUCCUUGCCCAGACGCCUCCACUUCCUCAAGUACACAGGAGCGAUCCAGAGAAGCAAGGCUGUGUGGCCGCUAAGGCUGCCCUGUUCUGUGGGAGUGGGAAGGGAGCACCUGAUGGACGGGGACCCAUUCACCACAGCUCCCGGUGUGCCUGGCAGCCUCUCCAGAGAUGGACAGGCCCUGUUCAGGUCCCACUUUUCCCCAGAGAAGAGCCAAGACCUGGGGGAAGCCAGUGAGGUGCCCAAGCAGCAACAUUCAGGAGGCGCUCACGCACUGACACAGCCUGAGGGUGAGGACUCCCGAAGCUCUGCCCUACCCUUGCCCUGCCCCUAUAUCCCUCCCCGCCUCUCCUUUGAAGUUCCCAUAGUCCUCCCAGGGGGGCUGAUUCCCUGCCUGAGCCUCUGUGGCUGAGGGGCAGAGACCCAUUUCUUCUGUUCAUCCCGAAACCACCUGGGAGCCAGGCUUUCACACCCCCGCCCUUGCAACAUGCUCCCGUCCCUCCUCCUCUGCCCUCUGCUGCAUUUGCCUGCCAUCCCAAUUCGCCUCUUAGCAUCUAUAAACAACAAUGAUUUUUCUUUCCAAUGAAAUAGUAUAUAGCCAUUAAAAUUGUGUUUCCAUGUGGGUGAAUUCUUCGAUCACCUCAAUGUACAAAAAGGCUUUUCUAUCUGUGACUGACAACCCAGAGGCAACCAAAGAAAAGACUGAGGAAUCGACUACAUAAAAAUAAAAAUAAUUUCUGUGGCA